rnacentral:lncRNA from 1 species
AACAAUUUAAGUGAAGAAUUGUGCACUGAUAAUCAUAUGAGGACCUUACUUUAACCAAACUUCACAGAAACAAUAAAUUCAGGAUCUUUUAGAAUCAUAGAUGAAGCCAAUAAUGAUUGGCCCGACUAUUUACUUUACAGGAAAUUCAUAUGCAGAACAACAAAAGAGAGAAUCAUUCCCCCUCCCUCAGUACCCCAAAAAAAUGGAGGGAUGGAUGGCCAUCUUUUUCAAGACAGACAAAUAAGAAUUAUUACCGUUAAAAAAAUGUGAAAAGAGUCCAAAUUUUAUCAUAAA